UAACAGUUUGAAGACGCUGGCUCUGUGGU
rnacentral:piRNA from 1 species